rnacentral:rRNA from 1 species
AUGCCACUCUGGGGGCGUCGUGUGCUGGUCAGGUGCGUGCUCUCCGCGCUCCCGGCAUUCACGCUUGCAGUUCUUCAGGCUCCAGCAAAAUUCUUCAAGGAAGUCGACAAGGCCCGCAGGCGGUUCCUAUGGGCGCAGGACGAUGAGCUCGCCGGAGGCAAGUGCAAGGUCCGGUGGCAGGUGGUCGCGUCCCCGACGGAUCGCGGGGGGCUGGGCGUGCCGGACCUGCAGGGCUUCGCUAGAGCCCCGCGCCUCCGCUGGUUGUGGAUGGCAUGGACACACCCAGACCGGCCUUGGGCGGGGCUGGGGUCGCCGUGCGACGACAAGGAUCGGGCGCUCUUUGCGUCUGCAACUACCGUGGCCGUGCGCAGCAGGCGACAUGCCACCUUCUGGCACUGCAAUUGGCUCGGCGGUCGCCCGCUCAAGCUUCAAUUCCCGGACAUAUUCAGGCGCUCCAUCCGCAAGAACCGGAGUGUUGCCGACGCACUUCUGGAGGAUAGAUGGAUACUCGACCUUCAGCUCGGCGAAAUCAACGACACAAUCAUGCUGCAGUGCAUCCAUCUGGCUAGGGCAAUUAGAGAGGCAGAAAUCACGCUGCAGCCGGACAUCACCGACGAGAUCGCUUGGACGGGGGCGGCGGUAGCUCUGAAUACUCCGCCAGCUCCGCCUACGCCAUCCAGUUCUCCGACUGCCCCACGACCUCUUUCAAGCCACUGA